CUGAAUUUCAUUAAGGAAGACCCUACACGGGUUCUUCCUAAAGUGACACUAUGCUCUCCUGAUUUAUCUCAAGUGCCCACCUGUUAUCAGGAUAUUAAAGAUGUUUUUUCCAAGUCCAAGGCCAAAUCCCUUCCACCCCACAGACCUUAUGACUGUGCUAUUGACUUGCUGCCUGGAACCACACCCCCACGAGGGAGGUUGUUCUCUCUUUCAGGGCCGGAACACAAGGCCAUGAAGGAAUACGUAGAAGAAUCACUGGCAGCUGGGAUCAUUCGCCCAUCUUCAUCCCCUGCGGGAGCAGGAUUUUUCUUCGUGGACAAGAAAGACAAGACCCUGCGACCCUGUAUCGAUUACCGGGGUCUCAAUGAGAUCACGGUAAAAAACAGCAGUUACUGCAGAAUCAACUCUAUGUCAAGGCUGAGAAAU